UUGUGUUUGUUAUUGUUUUCGUCGAGGUGGUGGAUGCCUUGUGGAACUUUUGUAGUAACUCAGUAAUAGGUUUUGUGGUAUUGUUAUUUCUAAGAGACGAAAAGCGGAACUCAAAAUUAUUGGAGGGAAAACAGAAAACGUAACAUACAUUCGCAUUCUGGGAGGCAAACAAGCUGUUCGGUUAAAAUGAUUGUGCGAUGAAACUGGCAAAAAACACGAAGAGAAAUGCAGCAAAACUGGAGAUACUGUGGGAAAUUCGCAUUUGCAAAAUAAGAUGCUGAAAUAGCAGAAACACAUCACAAAUCCAGUACCACACCAGAACUACAAGAUUGUACAACCAAACGUUCUCUGCCACCACCAUAUAUAUUUUUGGAUGGUUACUAAGGAUAGGCCAUGGCGUAUACUGGAGAUCAUUGUUUUAUAUUUUAUCAUCUGAGCCAAAUUAAUGUGUCUGUUAAUAUAUUAAUGUUAUGGCACUGUCAAUAGAAGUAUCACAGAUACACUUUAAGAAAAUGAAUGACACUUGUAUCUUUUGUGUUGGAGUUACUGCUGCAAUGAAUGUGAUUUUUUUUAGUAUGACAUGUUAAACACAACUGCACUAAAAUUUGUUUAUUGCAAAAGGAGGUAUGUCUUUUACAUAUAUUGUUUUGUCCCAUUUAUGUGUGUGUUGUUCACAAUCCCUGCUCCCAUCCUCAACCAGAGAAAGUAAUUACAGAAUCAUUGCAUAAAGUCAUAUCAUGUGUGUGUAUGUCUUGGAAGAGGGUGCGGGAGGGGAGUGCACACACUUUUAAGAAGAGUUUAUUGGUCUAUCCACUAAUGAUUACAAGUCCAAGGGUAAUAUUUUUUGACUGAGUUGCUUACAUUUCUUCAAAAGCAAAGCUGUGAAAAAUAUGAAAUUAAAAUAUUUUGUGAUUGGCUCUGCAUGGAAUGUUGCACAUUUUGUUAUAAUAUAUUUAAUUACUCAACAUUUAUUCUCUUACUGUGAACUGUUAGACAUCAGCAGUUUUAGGUACAAAUGUAAUACCUAUUGGUGACAUGAAUAUUUCUGCCGGACUGUGACUUGAACCUACAUUUCUCUCUUCUUGUGACAAAAUAUUCCAUGAAGUUAUUGGUUUGCAGUCAGAUGUUACUGAACCAGUCUUUUGACUGCAUAACUUCCAGCAAUGGGGUCGACCGAAGCGUCCGAUCUCACCCGUUGACUUUGACCCGUGAC